rnacentral:rRNA from 1 species
CCAAUAGCGUAUAUUAAGGUUGCUGCGGUUAAAAAGCUCGUAGUUGAAUUUCGGGAUUGAUGCAUCGGUCGUGCCUUAAGGGGUAUGAACUGGUGUAGCCAAUUUCUUACCUUCUGGUGAAUUGUGAUGUCCUCCUUAAUUGGGUGUUUCAAUGAACUAGGACCUUUUACUUUGAAAAAAUUAGAGUGUUUAAAGCAGGCAUUAUUUGCUUGAAUACAUUAGCAUGGAAUAAUAAAAUAGGACAAUGAUUCUAUUUUGUUGGUUUCUAGGAUCACUGUAAUGAUUAAUAGGGAUAGUUGGGGGCAUUAGUAUUCAAUUGUCAGAGGUGAAAUUCUUGGAUUAAUUGAAGACUAACUACUGCGAAAGCAUUUGCCAAGGAUAUUUUCAUUAAUCAAGAACGAAAGUUAGGGGAUCGAAGACGAUUAGGUACGUCAUAGUCUUAACCAUAAACUAUGCCGACUAGGAAUCAGACAACGUUAAAUUUUUAAUGACUUGUUUGGCACCUUACG